rnacentral:rRNA from 1 species
UACGUAGGUGGCAAGCGUUGUCCGGAUUUACUGGGCGUAAAGAGCGCGCAGGCGGCUGAUUAAGUCGAAUGUGAAAGCCCCCGGCUCAACUGGGGAGGGUCAUUCGAUACUGAUCAACUUGAAGGCAGGAGAGAGAAGUGGAAUUCCCGGUGUAGUGGUGAAAUGCGUAGAUAUCGGGAGGAACACCAGUGGCGAAGGCGGCCUUCUGGACAGUGACUGACGCUGAGACGCGAAAGCGUGGGGAGCAAACAGG